rnacentral:rRNA from 1 species
GACGAACGCUGGCGGCGUGCUUAACACAUGCAAGUCGAACGGAAAGGCCCUGCUUUUGUGGGGUGCUCGAGUGGCGAACGGGUGAGUAACACGUGAGUAACCUGCCCUUGACUUUGGGAUAACUUCAGGAAACUGGGGCUAAUACCGGAUAGGAGCUCCUGCUGCAUGGUGGGGGUUGGAAAGUUUCGGCGGUUGGGGAUGGACUCGCGGCUUAUCAGCUUGUUGGUGGGGUAGUGGCUUACCAAGGCUUUGACGGGUAGCCGGCCUGCGAGGGUGACCGGCCACAUUGGGACUGAGAUACAGCCCAGACUCCUACGGGAGGCAGCAGUGGGGAAGAUUGCACAAUGGGCGGAAGCCUGAUGCAGCAACGCCGCGUGCGGGAUGACGGCCUUCGGGUUGUAAACCGCUUUCGCCUGUGACGAAGCGAGAGUGACGGUAAUGGGUAAAGAAGCACCGGCUAACUACGUG